rnacentral:rRNA from 1 species
GACGAACGCUGGCGGCGUGCUUAACACAUGCAAGUCGAACGAAGAGCGAUGGAAGCUUGCUUCUAUCAAUCUUAGUGGCGAACGGGUGAGUAACGCGUAAUCAACCUGCCCUUCAGAGGGGGACAACAGUUGGAAACGACUGCUAAUACCGCAUACGAUCUAACCUCGGCAUCGAGGAAAGAUGAAAGGUGGCCUCUAUGUAUAAGCUAUCACUGAAGGAGGGGAUUGCGUCUGAUUAGCUAGUUGGAGGGGUAACGGCCCACCAAGGCGAUGAUCAGUAGCCGGUCUGAGAGGAUGAACGGCCACAUUGGGACUGAGACACGGCCCAGACUCCUACGGGAGGCAGCAGUGGGGAAUCUUCCGCAAUGGACGAAAGUCUGACGGAGCAACGCCGCGGGAGUGAUGACGGCCUUCGGGUUGUAAAGCUCUGUUAAUCGGGACGAAAGGCCUUCUUGCGAAUAGGGAGAAGGAUUGACGGUACCGGAAGAGAAAGCCACGGCUAACUACGUG